GCCGGGCUCAGUAGCGUGAGCCUGUAACCUGAGUAGGGGCAUUAAGGUGAUGGGACGUUGCUCCGGCCCAGUAGGCCGGCCUUGGUGUGGCUGUGCCCUUGCUCGCCCGUUCCAAGCUGAGAGUUGAGCUAUGUGGCCUUGAGCGAAAGCUGGGGUCACUUGGUUCCUAGAGCGGAGGGCACAGCGUGAGGCUGGUUUCACAGAGCAGCGACAACCUCCUGCUCUUGGCAGUGGAAGGAUAACGAGUUGGUGUCGCCCAAGUCCAUAUGGUCUAAUGGGCCGUGCUAACUGGACCAUCAUUUUU
rnacentral:SRP_RNA from 1 species